AAGUUUAGCUAAUGUUGCCCGUACCGUAAACCGACACAGGUGGGUGGGAUGAGUAUUCUAAGGCGCGUGGAAGAACUCUCUUUAAGGAACUCUGCAAAAUAGCACCGUAUCUUCGGUAUAAGGUGUGGUUAGCUUUGUAUUAGGAUUUACUCCGAAAGCAAGGAAACUUACAACAAAGAGUCCCUCCCGACUGUUUACCAAAAACACAGCACUCUGCUAACUCGUAAGAGGAUGUAUAGGGUGUGACGCCUGCCCGGUGCUCGAAGGUUAAUUGAUGGGGUUAGCAUUAGCGAAGCUCUUGAUCGAAGCCCGAGUAAACGGCGGCCGUAACUAUAACGGUCCUAAGGUAGCGAAAUUCCUUGUCGGUUAAAUACCGACCUGCAUGAAUGGCGUAACGAGAUGGGAGCUGUCUCAAAGAGGGAUCCAGUGAAAUUGUAGUGGAGGUGAAAAUUCCUCCUACCCGCGGCAAGACGGAAAGACCCCGUGGACCUUUACUACAGCUUGACACUGCUACUUGGAUAAGAAUGUGCAGGAUAGGUGG
rnacentral:rRNA from 1 species